GAUGAACGCUGGCGGCGUGCCUAAUACAUGCAAGUCGAGCGAACAGACGAGGAGCUUGCUCCUCUGACGUUAGCGGCGGACGGGUGAGUAACACGUGGAUAACCUACCUAUAAGACUGGGAUAACUUCGGGAAACCGGAGCUAAUACCGGAUAAUAUAUUGAACCGCAUGGUUCAAUAGUGAAAGACGGUUUUGCUGUCACUUAUAGAUGGAUCCGCGCCGCAUUAGCUAGUUGGUAAGGUAACGACUUACCAAGGCAACGAUGCGUAGCCGACCUGAGAGGGUGAUCGGCCACACUGGAACUGAGACACGGUCCAGACUCCUACGGGAGGCAGCAGUAGGGAAUCUUCCGCAAUGGGCGAAAGCUUGACGGAGCAACGCCGCGUGAGUGAUGAAGGUCUUCGGAUCGUAAAACUCUGUUAUUAGGGAAGAACAAACGUGUAAGUAACUAUGCACGUCUUGACGGUACCUAAUCAGAAAGCCACGGCUAACUACGUG
rnacentral:rRNA from 1 species